rnacentral:tRNA from 1 species
GGAGGGGUGGCUGAGUGGUCAAAAGCAGCAGACUGUAAAUCUGCCCGCGUGAGCGUUCGUAGGUUCGAAUCCUACCCCCUCCACCA